UGUUUCUUAACUCAUUUCUUCUGGAUUAUUUUUAUUUUUGUUUCUGUUUUUUUAACAGAAAAUUUGGUGAAAUCUUCCAAAGAAGAAAGUUUCUAUCCAAUUAGGAACAUCCAACUUCAAAAUAAGCAAGGUUUUCAGCUGAGGAUCCUGCAUUGCUGCUUGAGACCUACACAAGCUUUUGAGCAAGGACUCCUGCAAGUGCGCAAUAUGUUGAAGAGAAGUGUGCAAGCAAGAGAUUGCACUGGCAGUGCUUGGCAUCCUAUACAUUUAGGCAAAAGGUAAGAAGAAACUCUUCUUCUAAAUAUUGGGUAGCUUAUAAUUCCAAUUUUUUUAAAUUCAAACUUUUCAAAUUUUUCUUAUUCCUCAUAUGAAUUUGGAUGGGAAAGUGUGAGGAAAAGCUUUCAGAUUUAUUUGUUGUAAACAACUGUUUCUUGGGUUUUUUUUUUAAUUGUCAAGCUUAUCACUACUAUUAGGUGUGAAUAAGGAAUGGGGGGAGGGUUAUAAGUAAAAACUGACUAUGAAAUUAAUGUAUUGCAUGCAUUAAAUAUAAUACAGAAAAUAUU
rnacentral:lncRNA from 1 species